CCUUUUCUCAUCAAACUGCUCGAUUUUUUUUUGACAACAAGAACUGUCAAGUGCAACUGACAGUUCUCGCUGUCAAAUGAUUCAAGCAGUUUGUUUGGAUAGAUUUUGUACCUUUUCACAACUGUAUUUCGCGGAACGGAUUCUUUUUCCGGAAAAAAGCAACCUUUGCGCGAAGAAGCGGUUCACAAAGCGCCUCUACCGAAGAGCCCUCACACGGGGUCGCUUAUAUUUCAUCGCAGAACACGUUUCCGCUGGCCCUAAAUGGCAUAAUUCCGGAGGAAAACUUCUAUGUCCGGGGCUGCAGAACUGUAGCCCGGAAUUGACGUGGUUUUCGAAGGAUAACGUGACGAUUCCAAGCAAAGCAAAACUGUUAACAGCCGGUGCUUUUUCCGGCGAAAAAAAGCUCUAGGCUGAAAGGUGUCUGUAUUAGCAGUUCCGCUUCAUCCUCCUUCGCAGAAAGCCUCCCUCCUCGGUCAAGACGGACAGCCAGAACAGACCGGCAGGAUUCAAACCAUCGAAAACAACUCCGAGACAGCGAUCUGUUUUCGGCGAAGCAAUCCCGGACGCCCCAUUUUAGGAAAACUCGACGUUGGACGUCAAACCAGCUCCAGAACCGCAUUCUGGUGCUGGAAUGCGAACUUUCCCAGUGGGGUAACGUGGACUUUUCCCGGUUGGCCCGAUUGCGGACGCCACCAUCACACCAACAUCCCCGCUCCAGCCGAAGCCGGCGACGCAAUCAGAAUAUGGCAGGUGGCCAGGAAUCUCCGGCUAUGGUAUACGUCUUCGAUCGGGAACCUGCCGUUAGGUAAUUCGACAGGUUUCACAAAUUCUCCUUCCGCACACGUCCGCGACGGAACCAGCUGAAUCCUCUGACGGAGCAUGAAACGCUUGAGGACAAGUGCCUAAAAUGCAGGAUACGACUUCGGAAAUAUUAUAAAUAGAGAACAAAUUAAAAUAAAGAACAGUUUCAAACAAA